rnacentral:rRNA from 1 species
UACAGAGGGUGCAAGCGUUGUUCGGAAUUAUUGGGCGUAAAGCGCACGUAGGCGGCAUUGCAAGUCGGAUGUGAAAUCCCUCGGCUCAACCAAGGAAGUGCAUCCGAAACUGCUGUGCUUGAGUACUUAAGAGGAUCGCGGAAUUCCCGGUGUAGAGGUGAAAUUCGUAGAUAUCGGGAGGAACACCAGUGGCGAAGGCGGCGAUCUGGGAAGAUACUGACGCUGAGGCGCGAAAGCUAGGGAGCAAACGGG